GUUACUUUUUUAAGGACUAGAUGGUAGCCGGUUUGAGUUUCCUAAUCCCCUUCUUCCUUUCAGAAAUAAGUCAUUAGUUUGAUAUCCCACUUCAACAGCUCUCUCUAAACACAUUUCGCACUAUGUGCGGAAUGUUUAUUUUGUUUCGCUUAUAUGACAUUCCUCUAACUUUCCAUAAUUUUUAUCUGUAUUCUUACCCUAAGAAAUCAAAACCAGAAGUUUUUUUUGUUCCAAUCUCGUUCUAAGAUAGUAUUCUUCAAAGAAUUGCCCUACUCAAGUAAGGGAUGGAAAUCUCAUUUUUUUUUUUAUCCAAAUGCCCGAACCAGCCUCCUGGCCAACUGAGUGGAGAUCUAACUUCCCUCUAUCCCUGACCUUGGGAAUUUCAAACUCAACUUGGCCUUCAUUUCCUACUCCAAGAAGUUGGGCGGGGAGCAAUUCAAGGUUCCCAAGCUAUUAAAGGAAGGCCUGCUCUACUUGUUUGAAUGAAGCUCGAUCCGGCUAUUGAGCAUAUUAAGUUACAAGAGGAUGAGCUACUCCGACAAGAGCAAAUGUUACUAGAUGAGCGAGAUCAGCAGCCGACCGAUCCUUCUGGCGGGGCAUUUAGCAGCUAAGCGACUGUAACCAGUGAAGUGGUUGCACUAGAGGAAUUGCCGGCCGACCCUCUCCAACUUCUGAAGAUUCUCCACAUGAUGAGGUGGUAGUGCAAAUGAAGAGGAGGUGCUAGAGGCACCUGCUCGCUCCUUUGAUACAAGUUCUAGAGGGAUGAGCGUCCUCCAUCAUGGUGCCCUCACCCCAUCUUACGCUUGUCCCGGAAGAGACCUCGGCGUAAUCCUCCAAGCGAACUUUGUUCGCUAGUCCAUCCGUCUCCGCUCUCCCUUCCAACAGUCCAAUCCAAGAGGUCACUUCCCAGCUGAUUGGCUCUCCCAGCCGAUCUGCUCAGCAGCCUACCACUUUUCCAGUCACCCCCUUGCUAAGCCUAUGCCUGCGCCAACUCCCGACAUUGAGCCAAAGCUGCUCUACCAAUUUUUGGACUACUAUGAUGUACCAUCUGCUGAGGCGAUCACUUCCCCCUCAACUUCUCCUCCGAUCAGUGGUUGAGUAUUAUUGAGGGGCCAAUUAAUGGAGGCCUGGCAAUAAGCCGCGAGCAAGCUGGAUGAAAACAACAUGGCGGAAACAGCGGAUGAGCAUGCCUACGACCUAACCACGCACUGGCGAUUGGGGUAGGUGUGGCGCAUAAAUUGGCCAACCUAACCCAGGAAAAUGAAGUCUUGAAGAAGCACCUGUCAGAGGUGGACUCUUUUUAUGCUCCCACCCCCUCACCAUAAGAGAGUUAGGCUCAACACGAGUAGUUGAGCCAGUUAAAAAAAGAACUUCAAGAGGCUCAAGCGUUGAGUAAAGUUAAUGCAGAGCAGGUGCAGAAAUCAAAGGAUGCCUUGAAGACGAUCGAAAAUAGGGUCCGCUCAGAGAUGGCCAGCCGAGCGAAUAUAGUGGCCAAGCUAGAUGAGAAAAUCACAAAAGUCUAGCGUCUCUCCUCUUAGUUAGAUGAAUCAAAGGCUAUACAUAUUGCGGAGUUGACGGCCUAGACUAAAUUAUCCUCUGAGCGACAACAAAACCUGGACGUUCAAAGAGCGGAGCUGGAGUCCCUUCGGGCGGACUUAAAGGCCGGCCAAAAUGCUCUUACUACCUCUAAAUCUGAAGCGACGGGUCUCUCUUCAGAGCAAGCGCCUUGAGCACUGUUUAUCCGAAUGAUCAAUUGCCAUAUUGAUCAUUCUUUUCUCCGUCUUGUUGAAAUCUGUACAAACAGAAUCACUUUCAACCACUGUUUCUCUUUCUACAGAUUUUCUUUUUUCUGUUUCUACUCUCGAACCAACUACAAUUUCAGAAAUCAAAUUACAGCAUCAACUUCAGAAAACAGCAAAAGUGUAUGAUAUUUCUGCAAAUCUAGUUGUUCCAUUUGAAUCUA